CAGACAUGAAGAAAACGAAAGCAACAAAAAGCAGCAGCAGCCCUGCAAACCCUCUCGACAUCCUGAAGGCACUGCGAGGACACUAGAGUAUGUGCUCACAUGGGGCUGAGGUUCCGGCUUCAUGACCAAAUAAGAACUUCAUCACAGCUGUCAGAAGGGGGCAAACAUCUCUUCUACAUAAGUGUUUUACACCACAAGAAAAGCCUUUUUAAAAGUGCAAGGGAGUUAUCGCCAGAGUCAAACCUGAACACAGGUUCUGCUCCUUCUGGUCUUAGAUCACAAUCUUUGUAGGUAUAUAUUAUUGCUAAAAAAUUCACGGGCAAUUUCUAGUCCUCCAGAUUUUACAGGGUGGUGUAAAAAGUUGGUGUGUAAAAAAAUAAAAAUAGUUUAAUGGAUUUAAACUACUGAUGAGCAAAGUCAGUGAAUACUGGCACAUAUAAAUCUCUUCAGCAAUUAAAUUAUGCACCCCAUAAGAGGAGAAGAGACACCAGAGACACUGCAACAGCCACAGCUAGACCGACACUGAGCUUCCCACCAACUGCUAUCCCAGACG
rnacentral:lncRNA from 1 species